rnacentral:lncRNA from 1 species
GGGUUUGAAAGAAAAUAUGAUAUGACUAAGUUAAGGAUAUGUAGAUAUAUCCAAAAUAAAGAAAGAAGAAAACAAUCUAAUCAUAAUAUUCUUUAAUGUCUUAUUAUACUACAAACAUUUUAGAUUACAAAGCCAUUAUUGCAAAGUUCUUAAAAUUAAAAAAUAAAAAUAAAAAAUACAAUUACUAGAAGGAGAUUUUUUUGAAAAAUUAUGUUGCAUAGCUGUUUCGCUUGUGUAUGUAGUCAUAUAUACAUCGGUAAUUAUUACACUUCAUUGCAAAAAUUGUUGAUUCACUUUUUGGACAAUCUGCAUCUGUUUUGCAUUUAAUAUAUACUGUAACGAAAAAAGAUAAUUAAAAAUAAUCUUAACAAAAAAAAAAAAAAUAUUGUGGACGAACAAUAAAUAAAGAAGGAAAAUUGGAAAGUAUCAAAAAAUAGUUUACCGGCAUCGUUCUUUGCAAUAAAAAACAGGGAAAUAAAUGAAAUUAAGGUAUACAUAUAUUUGAGAGUUUUAUCCAUAU